AGGAAGGCUCAGGACAGCUCCACAGGCAGGAGGAGCAGUGCUGCAUCCCGUUCAAGGUUAUAUCCAAGGUCAAUAUAUAACAUAACAGAAUGUUUGGGUUUGGAGGAAAUCAGGAGUCUCUUGGUUAUUCACUAAAAAUCUAAACAACAAAGUACUAAGGACUUGGUGACAUAUUGCAUUAGGACAGGAAGGAACUUAGAGACCUAAUUAAAUUCCAUGACCCAGAGGUGUGAGUCCAGCGCUGAAGGAGCAAGCGUCUAAGAGGAAGGGCGGCCUUUGCGAUUGGAAGCUCACCCUGGCAGCUGCAGAAGGAGCACAGAGUCAGGGGAAAACCAACGUCGGCCUAACACAGCUACAUGGAUGAACAGGAAGGAAGGAGCGCCGCCAUCCACAUAGCCUCGCACCCAAAUCCCCUGUGGAGGGAAAGGAUUUGCAUAAAUGUCCACUAAGUGUCCAAAUCCCCUG